GGUCUAAAGGCUUCGUAGCCGGCCGGAUAAGUUUCCUGAGAAAUUUGGCAGCUUAACUGUCAGGCUUUCAGGAGAUACUGUCUGGCUAGAGGCCGGGAGAGGCGAGAGGUAUUUCAGGGGUAGGGGUGAAAUCUUGUAAUCCUUGAAGGACCACCAGUGGCGAAGGCGUCUCACCAGAACGGACCUGACGGCAAGGGACGAAAGCUAGGGGCACGAACCGGAUUAGAUACCCGGGUAGUCCUAGCCGUAAACGAUACUCGCUAGGUGUCGGGCAGGGCGCGACCGUUUUCGGUGCCGCAGGGAAGCCGUGAAGCGAGCCACCUGGGAAGUACGGCCGCAAGGCUGAAACUUAAAGGAAUUGGCGGGGGAGCACCACAACGGGUGGAGCUUGCGGUUUAAUUGGAGUCAACGCCGGAAAUCUCACCGGGAGCGACAG
rnacentral:rRNA from 1 species